GACGAACGCCGGCGGCGUGCUUAACACAUGCAAGUCGAACGGUGAAGCGCCUUCCUUUUUGGUGGGUGUGGAUGAGUGGCGAACGGGUGAGUAACACGUGAGUAACCUGCCCCCUUCUUCUGGAUAACCGCAUGAAAGUGUGGCUAAUACGGGAUAUUCUGGGUCUGUCGCAUGAUGGGUCUGGGAAAGAUAUUGUUUCGGUGGGGGAUGGGCUCGCGGCCUAUCAGCUUGUUGGUGGGGUGAUGGCCUACCAAGGCGGUGACGGGUAGCCGGCCUGAGAGGGUGGACGGUCACACUGGGACUGAGACACGGCCCAGACUCCUACGGGAGGCAGCAGUGGGGAAUAUUGCACAAUGGGCGCAAGCCUGAUGCAGCGACGCCGCGUGAGGGAUGGAGGCCUUCGGGUUGUGAACCUCUUUCGCCGGUGAAGCAGGCCUGCCUCGUUUGUGGGUGGGUUGACGGUAGCUGGAGAAGAAGCGCCGGCUAACUACGUG
rnacentral:rRNA from 1 species